rnacentral:rRNA from 1 species
GUCGAGCGAACAGAUGAGAAGCUUGCUUCUCUGAUGUUAGCGGCGGACGGGUGAGUAACACGUGGGUAACCUACCUAUAAGACUGGGAUAACUCCGGGAAACCGGGGCUAAUACCGGAUAAUAUUUUGAACCGCAUGGUUCAAUAGUGAAAGACGGUUUCGGCUGUCACUUAUAGAUGGACCCGCGCCGUAUUAGCUAGUUGGUAAGGUAACGGCUUACCAAGGCGACGAUACGUAGCCGACCUGAGAGGGUGAUCGGCCACACUGGAACUGAGACACGGUCCAGACUCCUACGGGAGGCAGCAGUAGGGAAUCUUCCGCAAUGGGCGAAAGCCUGACGGAGCAACGCCGCGUGAGUGAUGAAGGUCUUCGGAUCGUAAAACUCUGUUGUUAGGGAAGAACAAAUUUGUUAGUAACUGAACAAGUCUUGACGGUACCUAACCAGAAAGCCACGGCUAACUACGUGCCAGCAGCCGCGGUAAUACGUAGGUGGCAAGCGUUAUCCGGAAUUAUUGGGCGUAAAGCGCGCGUAGGCGGUUUCUUAAGUCUGAUGUGAAAGCCCACGGCUCAACCGUGGAGGGUCAUUGGAAACUGGGAAACUUGAGUGCAGAAGAGGAGAGUGGAAUUCCAUGUGUAGCGGUGAAAUGCGCAGAGAUAUGGAGGAACACCAGUGGCGAAGGCGGCUCUCUGGUCUGUAACUGACGCUGAUGUGCGAAAGCGUGGGGAUCAAACAGGAUUAGAUACCCUGGUAGUCCACGCCGUAAACGAUGAGUGCUAAGUGUUAGGGGGUUUCCGCCCCUUAGUGCUGCAGCUAACGCAUUAAGCACUCCGCCUGGGGAGUACGACCGCAAGGUUGAAACUCAAAGGAAUUGACGGGGACCCGCACAAGCGGUGGAGCAUGUGGUUUAAUUCGAAGCAACGCGAAGAACCUUACCAAAUCUUGACAUCCUUUGANCGCUCUAGAGAUAGAGUCUUCCCCUUCGGGGGACAAAGUGACAGGUGGUGCAUGGUUGUCGUCAGCUCGUGUCGUGAGAUGUUGGGUUAAGUCCCGCAACGAGCGCAACCCUUAAGCUUAGUUGCCAUCAUUAAGUUGGGCACUCUAGGUUGACUGCCGGUGACAAACCGGAGGAAGGUGGGGAUGACGUCAAAUCAUCAUGCCCCUUAUGAUUUGGGCUACACACGUGCUACAAUGGAUAAUACAAAGGGCAGCGAAUCCGCGAGGCCAAGCAAAUCCCAUAAAAUUAUUCUCAGUUCGGAUUGUAGUCUGCAACUCGACUACAUGAAGCUGGAAUCGCUAGUAAUCGUAGAUCAGCAUGCUACGGUGAAUACGUUCCCGGGUCUUGUACACACCGCCCGUCACACCACGAGAGUUUGUAACACCCGAAGCCGGUGGAGUAACCUUUUAGGAGCUAGC